rnacentral:rRNA from 1 species
ACGCACGCUGGCGGCAUGCCUAACACAUGCAAGUCGAACGAGACCUUCGGGUCUAGUGGCGCACGGGUGCGUAACGCGUGGGAACCUGCCCUUAGGUUCGGAAUAACUCCCCGAAAGGGGUGCUAAUACCGGAUAAUGUCUUCGGACCAAAGAUUUAUCGCCUUUGGAUGGGCCCGCGUUGGAUUAGCUAGUUGGUAGGGUAAAAGCCUACCAAGGCGACGAUCCAUAGCUGGUCUGAGAGGAUGAUCAGCCACACUGGGACUGAGACACGGCCCAGACUCCUACGGGAGGCAGCAGUGGGGAAUAUUGGACAAUGGGCGAAAGCCUGAUCCAGCAAUGCCGCGUGAGUGAUGAAGGCCUUAGGGUUGUAAAGCUCUUUUACCCGGGAUGAUAAUGACAGUACCGGGAGAAUAGGCUCCGGCUAACUCCGUG